CAAAGGGAAGGCAGUAGGUUUGACACUCACAUCAGGUAACGGGCCAGCUCCGGACAGGGUCCCUGAUACAGCUUCGAAGCCUUCUUCAGAAAGUUGAUCGCGCGAUGUUUUGGUACAAAAGUAAGAUUCUUCAUUCUUCAAGGGAGAAUCAUAAGGUGAGAGAAGGGAGGCGUCCCUACUCCCGAGUAUUACCAACAUCAGUACCUCAGACAGCCCUGGACGGACCGGGCGCGGAUCGAUGGAGCGAUGAAGAGCGAAGACGCGCGCAUCCAGUCUUCAUUCCACCAUCCGAAGACCCGAAUGUAGGCUAUAUGGUCUUCAUCCAGUGACUUCAUUGCAUCCCUGCAGAUUCAGAUCUAGGUUGGACCCUGUUUGCAUGGAGAGAAAACCAGGACUGGCUUUGCUCUCUCCUCCACCAACGCAGAAGACGAGCAGCUCAUUCUCAAGGAGACAGAGCUGAUGGCCGGGCCGAGGGAGAGAUGUUUAAUGGAACCCUCGUACAUCAUCACCUGAGUGGAAAUCAAUUUUGCUCUCUUGCAAGUCACAGGAAAUGAGUUGGAGAUGCCCCCACUUGACUGUGAUGUAUAUCUUGCUCUUAAAUUUUGCUUUCAAUAAAACCACUUUGAAAAGAAAAUGCUGUGUGUUGUUGUUUUAUCUCCCGCUGAACAUCUGCAAUAUGAGACAAGAGCACCCAGAAGAUGGAGGAUCAGAAGGAAUGAAGGAAAGGAGGGGGAGUGAGAGGGAGGGUGGCUGAAGGUAAGUGACUGAGGAAGGAAGGCAGGGCAUUAAGGAUGGAGGCAAACACGUCGUCCUUUCUAACUCAUCCUCCUGGACACUGAUUGAAACGUCCCUUCUCAUCUGCUGCAGUAGAUCGGGUGACCCCCUUCUGCCCUGGGAGCCUGGUCUCACAUUCCAAACCCCACACCCGCCUCGGG
ensembl:lncRNA